rnacentral:rRNA from 7 species
UUUAGGUCUCCUGAAGGAACGUUGAAGACGACGACGUUGAUAGGCCGGGUGUGUAAGCGCAGCGAUGCGUUGAGCUAACCGGUACUAAUGAACCGUGAGGCUUAACCUUACAACGCCGAAG